AGCACACGCGCCACAAAUUGAAGGAAUAUUCUCUACAAGAUACCACUGAAAGAAACCCACAGCACAGAGCUGACUCCAAGGGCUGACACUUAGAGGGAGAGGAAGAGAAGAGAGCGAUAUAGAGAAGGAAGUGGGAGGGAUUAAUUAUGAAGGACGAGGUUAUAAGCUCUUCAGGGGACCCGCUACUGCCCCCCAGAUCUUCUUCUCCGCCUCCUAGCCUCACUCCUGCUGCCAGUUCUGUAGGGGCAUCAUCUCCUGCUGUUCCUACAAAUGCUGGCAGCACAGACUGGUUUGGUCAAGUACAGAACUCGAAAGGGGGUUCUCUUUCUCGCAUUGGGUCGCAGCCCAUAUGGACUUCAUUGAGCACUAGUGCUGGUGAUUCUGCUCUUGGAUCAUCUCAACCUUCGUGCAGACCAUGGGAAAGAGGUGAUUUACUGAGGCGUCUCUCAACUUUCGAACCUGCCAAUUGGUUUGGAAAGCCCAAGGCUGCUAGUGCACUGGCCUGUGCCAGAAGAGGGUGGGUGAGCGUGGAUGUUGACAAAAUUAAAUGUGAAUCUUGCGGUGCAAGUCUCAAGUUCAUUUCGUCAGCUACCUGGACUCCUUCUGAAGCUGAUAUUGCUGGGGAAGACUUCACCCAGAAACUAGAUGGCGGGCAUAAAGUUAACUGUCCGUGGGUGGGAAACAUCUGUGCAGAAAGCUUGGUACAGUUCCCUCCUACUCCACCAUCAGCAUUGAUUGGUGGUUAUAAGGAUCGUUGUGAUGGACUACUGCAGUUCCCAUCCCUGCCCAUUGUAGCUGCAUCUGCAUCUGAGCAAAUGCGAAUUUCUCGGGGUCCAGAAAUUGACCGGCUUUUAGCUCAGUCUCAGUUAGAGGGCAAUGAAUUGGGCUUUAAGCUGGAGAUUAUAUCGGGGCCUGAAAAUGCCAGAGAUGAUAUCUUCUUCAUAUACUCUCGUGCUCAAAAGCUGAUAAGCCUGUGUGGAUGGGAACCAAGAUGGCUUCCAAAUAUUCAGGACUGUGAAGAGAAUUCAGCUCAAUCGGCCAGAAAUGGAUGUUCAACUGGUCCUUCAAAAAAUCGUGGUCACCGUGGCAAGAAGAAAUUGUUUGCUUCCCCAAAAAAAGAUUAUGGCAUAAAUGAAGUUAUGGCUCCCAAGUCAAAAUUCGUGUCCAGGUCACCUUUAUUGGAUUGCAGCUUAUGUGGAGCCACAGUGAGAAUCUGGGACUUUCUCACUGUUGUACGUCCUGCUUCUUUUGCCUCCAAUAGCAGUGAUGUUCCUGAAACUAGCAAGAAGAUGGCAUUAACACGUGGAGUAAGUGCGGCAAGUGGCAUCAGUGGAUGGGUUGCUGUGGAUGGGAUGGAGAAGGAGCAGGGAGAGGACCAUGAUGAAGCUGCAACAGACGAAGGGAAGUCAUUGUCAAACAUGGGGGUGGAUUUAACUCUUACAAUAUCUGGUGGGUUAUCCUGUUCUCGGUUGCAGAUGAAUGUCAUGCCUGAACAAUACCAAGAUGCACCUGGAGGAAGAAAUUUAGUGGUUAGACGGCCUUCCAGCAGCGAGGUUGGUGAUCGUGCAGUCUCAUAUGAAUCAUGUGGUCCUAGUUCUCGCAAGCGGAACUUAGAUGAAGGUGGAAGUACAGUUGAUAGGCCACCACUAUUGAUGCAACAUGUUGACAGUAUUGAAGGCACUGUCAUUGACCGUGAUGGUGAUGAAGUCGAUGAUGUUAAACAGCAUGUUGGUGGCCCUUCAAAACGUGCCCGUGACUCUGAUAUUGUUGACCAUCGUUCCUCGUAUAGGAAAGAUUCUUCUGUUGCUGGUCCUAGCCAGCCAUUGGGAAUGGAUAUAGGAACAGGGGCUCUGAGAGAUCUUUCUAAUCAGGGUCCUGAGCUAGCAUUUGGUUAUCCAUCAACUAGAGAUUCUACACACGCUUCCUCCAUCAUUGCGAUGGACACUGUAUGUCACAGUCCAGAUGAUGAUUCAAUGGAAAGUGUUGAAAAUUAUCCUGGAGAUUUUGAUGAUGUUCAUUUUCCAUCUACGUCAACCUUCAGAAAUACAGAUGUCAAUGAGACAUCUGAAUUGAACUACAGUAACCAAGCACAACAAAGUACUUGCCCAGCUGUAAGAAGUGUUGGUGAAAUGGGUGUUAGUAGUACAAAUGAUGAAGAAGUGCUAAACGCAGAUACUGCAACUGGGCAUGGGAGAAAUGGUCCUAGCUUUGGAAUUAGUGGAGGAAGCGUUGGAAUGGGUGCUAGCCAUGAAGCUGAAAUUCAUGGCAUUGAUGUGUUGAUCAACAGAGCUGAUAGUGUCGUUGGUGAUGUCGAGCCAAUUGCUGAAAUCACUGAUAUCCAAGGUCAGACUAGUGAAUUUGCUCCAGAUCCAGGGCUAAUGGGUGAUUUUGUCCCGGAAGAAAUGGACCAAGAGGAUCGUGCUGGUGAUAGUCAAGAUUUUUUGUCUCGGUCUAUGGGAAGGGCUGAUAGGGGCUCAAAAAUUUUGGGUUUUGCCAAGGAAGGAUCUGUUGAAAGUGGUGAGAAGACCAGUAACAUACGUGCAGCACCCCAUGGGAACAGUCCAAAUUAUUCUCUUUCUUGCAAUGCCAUAUUAUAUUCUGGCUGUGAUGCGUCCAAGGAAGAAGUUACACAGGCUGGCAAAGAUUUGACAACUGAUGACUGUAACUCAGGCUAUAUGUUUGCAAAAGGGACAGGGCCACCAAAUGAUGGAUGCAACUAUGAGGAAUUUGUUGAAUUCGAUCCAAUCAAGCAUCAUAAUCACUUCUGUCCAUGGGUGAAUGGAAAUGUUGCCGCAGCUGGUUGCAAUAGCAGUAGCGGAUCUGGUUCCAGUGCUGGUGCUCAGGCACUAUGCGGUUGGCAGCUGACACUAGAUGCUUUGGACGCUUUCCAAUCGCUAGCACAAGUUCCAAUUGAAACCAGGGAAUCUGAAUCAGCUGCAUCCAUGCACAAGGAUGAGCAUCUGACUCCUGGUCGAAAACUCUUGGCACGCGACUCACUCAGCUAAAAUGCAAGAGCAUUGAUCACGGCGAAUCUAAUUUUCCAUGAUUCUUCAUAGGAUGAACAUCUUGGUUAAGUUGAGGAUGCUGCCUGCAGCAGUCAUCACAGAUCAAGGUCAAGUCUAAGUAAAUCGAUUGUCGAGAAGUUGUUCGUUACUCUUGUGGGCCAUCUUUAUUUGAAGUCAAAAUUCCAUCAACUGUAAUGUUUAUCGAGGUACAAGUGAUCAUUAGUUUCCUUAAUUCAUAAUAAUAGUAGUAUAAUGGUACUUCUGUAGUGGUAUUGCAAAACCUUAAAUCCCUUUUGUUUUCGAGAUACCUUUGCACACUUAUUUCUCAGACAAAUGACUCCAGCAAAAUUUUGAUUCUUGUGUUUUGUCACAUA